GGGCGUGCGACUAGGAGUUCUCCUGGCACGUGGGACAAACACACCGAGAAUGUCUGAUUGGAGGAAAUUGUGUUGAAAUACCCUAUUAGACGUACAUUCAAGAGAGAAAGGGAUUCGAAACCAGAUUUAGUUGAUGCAGGCCAACCGAGGACGAGGACGAGACCAGCAGGCUAGAGACUAUUUGGGAAUCCAUAUCUGUG